GACGAACGCUGGCGGCGUGCUUAACACAUGCAAGUCGAACGAAGUGGCGAACGGGUGAGUAACGCGUAAUCAACCUGCCCUUCAGAGGGGGAGAACAGUUGGAAACGACUGCUAAUACCGCAUACGGAAGGAGGGGAUUGCGUCUGAUUGGCUAGUUGGAGGGGUAACGGCCCAACAAGGCGAUGAUCAGACGCCGUUCUGAGCGGAUGGACGGCCACAUUGGGACUGAGACACGGCCCAAACUCCUCCUGGAGGCAGCAGUGGGGAAUCUGCCGCAAUGGAAGAAAGUCUGACGUAGCAACGCCGCGUGGGUGAUGACGGCCUUCGGGUUGUAAAGCUCUGUUAAUCGGGACGCGGUACCGGAAUAGAAAGCCACGGCUAACUACGUGCCAGCAGCCGCGGUAAUAC
rnacentral:rRNA from 1 species